rnacentral:rRNA from 1 species
UCUACGGGAGGCAGCAGUAGGGAAUAUUGCUCAAUGGGGGAAACCCUGAAGCAGCAACGCCGCGUGGAGGAUGACGGUUUUCGGAUUGUAAACUCCUUUUGUUAGAGAAGAUAAUGACGGUAUCUAACGAAUAAGCCCCGUCUAACUCCGUGACAGCAGCCGCGGUAAUACGGAGGGUGCAAGCGUUACUCGGAAUGACUGGGCGUAAUGGGCGCGUAGGCGGGAUAGCAAGUCAGAUGUGAAAUCCUAUGGCUUAACCAUAGAACUGCAUUCGAAACUGUUAUUCUGGAGUAUGGGAGAGGUAGGUGGAAUUCGUGGUGUAGGGGUGAAAUCCGUAGAGAUCAAGAGGAAUACUGAUUGCGAAGGCGACCUGCUAGAACAUAACUGACGCUGAUGCGCGAAAGCGUGGGGAGCAAACAGGAUUAGAUACCCCUGUAGUC